GCGCCCUUAGCUCAGCUGGAUAGAGCACCGGACUUCUAAUCCGACGGUCGCAGGUUCGAAUCCUGCAGGGCGCGC
rnacentral:tRNA from 10 species